rnacentral:tRNA from 1 species
UCCUAUGUGGCUCAGUCAGUAUAGAAUCUGCCUGCAAUGCAGAAGAUGCAGGUUCGAUCCCUGGGUCAGGAA